rnacentral:rRNA from 1 species
AACGAACGCUGGCGACAUGCCUAACACAUGCAAGUCGAACGAAGCCUUCGGGCUUAGUGGCGCACGGGUGCGUAGCGCGUGGGAAUCUGCCCUUUGGUUCGGAAUAACAGUUGGAAACGACUGCUAAUACCGGAUGAUGACGAAAGUCCAAAGAUUUAUCGCCAGAGGAUGAGCCCGCGUAGGAUUAGCUAGUUGGUGUGGUAAAGGCGCACCAAGGCGACGAUCCUUAGCUGGUCUGAGAGGAUGAUCAGCCACACUGGGACUGAGACACGGCCCAGACUCCUACGGGAGGCAGCAGUGGGGAAUAUUGGACAAUGGGCGAAAGCCUGAUCCAGCAAUGCCGCGUGAGUGAUGAAGGCCUUAGGGUUGUAAAGCUCUUUUACCCGGGAUGAUAAUGACAGUACCGGGAGAAUAAGCUCCGGCUAACUCCGUGCCAGCCGCCGCCGUAA